AGUGGGGGGAAAUCAUGUUCGAAACGAGGCAUUAGGGUUAGGAUCGCCGAAUAUAUAGAUCGCUGCGCGCGCAUACCUUGGAUGGAGGCUGUUCUUGACAACCUUCUGGCCGUACUUUCUCCACUUGUAGCCGUCGUCCAGCACAUCCACGUCGCUCCUUGUCUGGAAGCAGAACCUCGGUUCCCUCAUCUUCCUCCUCACCUUCAUCCGUCCUCCUUUCUCCCCCGCUGCUGCCGCCGCCGGGCCCUUCCACCUGCGUGCUCAGCUCAUCAUAUCAACAGAUGUAGAUGUGUUCCCAAUCAGAUCAUCAGCGCGAACGAACGAGCCCCGCGCCGCGCACUAGAAACCCUAACAAUCGGUCAACCACACUACGUACUCCACUAUUGCUCCCAGCAACUCCCAAGCGCGCAAGAAGCAACAAGUGAGUUAUGGUGUGAGGCCAUAAUCGUCAUACGUACGUACCAAUUGCAGGAACUUGGGCUGUUGCAUGCGGUGGCGGCGGUACUAGCGAUCUCGCCGGUGGCUUUCGCCGCCGCCGAGCUGGUGCCCGCCUGCGAAAACCAAGAUUACAAGGAUCAAGGAGAGCAUCCCACCAGGACCAGGUGGUGGUCUUCUCGCAGCAGGACGGGAUGGAGUCGUCGGCUCGUCGCUAGCUUCAUUUACCUCGCCGGCAUCGAGCGCCCCGGAGCCGGUGGUGGUAGUCUUCUCGCAGGCGGCGGCGACGGAGGGGCAGAAAGGGAUGCCGGGAAGAAGCAGCGGGUACAGGAGGCCGCUGUGGUGGUGGUGGUCCGAAGAGAGCAUCAGGCCAUGAUUAUUCGCAGCCUGCUCCUUGACAAACGGCAUCUGCAGAAGCAUGUGCUGCUGGUUCGGCAGCGGGGCAAGAAGGGGAUGAGGAUGGGCGCAUGGAGGAGGAGUAACCGCGUAGAGGCUAGCAGGAAGGCAGGUCUCCAGCAGCUGGCUGCUGCUCCCCUCCAUGCACGCAUAUAACAAGAUAGAUCGACCGUGCGGGGUGUGGGUUGUGGUGGUGAUCAAUUGAUCGAUGGGGUGGGUCAAAGUGGUAUUGGGGGGCAUGAGUAGGUGAGUGAGU
rnacentral:misc_RNA from 1 species